rnacentral:rRNA from 1 species
CAGCAGCAGCCGCGGUAAUACGUAGGGUGCGAGCGUUAAUCGGAAUUACUGGGCGUAAAGCGUGCGCAGGCGGUUAUAUAAGACAGAUGCGAAAUCCCCGGGCUCAACCUGGGAACUGCAUUUGAGACUGUAUGGCUAGAGUGUGUCAGAGGGGGGUAGAAUUCCACGUGUAGCAGUGAAAUGCGUAGAGAUCGGGAGGAACAUCAGUGGCGAAGGCGGCCAUCUGGGACAACACUGACGCUGAGGCACGAAAGCGUGGGGAGCAAACAGGAUUAGAUACCCCGGUAGUCCAUGUCUCUUAUAC